AUUGAACGCUGGCGGCAUGCCUUACACAUGCAAGUCGAACGGUAACAGGUCUUCGGAUGCUGACGAGUGGCGAACGGGUGAGUAAUACAUCGGAACGUGCCCAGACGUGGGGGAUAACGAGGCGAAAGCUUUGCUAAUACCGCAUACGAUCUAAGGACGAAAGCAGGGGACCGCAAGGCCUUGUGCGUUUGGAGCGGCCGAUGGCAGAUUAGGUAGUUGGUGGGAUAAAAGCUUACCAAGCCGACGAUCUGUAGCUGGUCUGAGAGGACGACCAGCCACACUGGGACUGAGACACGGCCCAGACUCCUACGGGAGGCAGCAGUGGGGAAUUUUGGACAAUGGGCGAAAGCCUGAUCCAGCAAUGCCGCGUGCAGGAUGAAGGCCUUCGGGUUGUAAACUGCUUUUGUACGGAACGAAAAGGCUCUGGCUAAUACCUGGGGCACAUGACGGUACCGUAAGAAUAAGCACCGGCUAACUACGUG
rnacentral:rRNA from 1 species